AUUAUGACACCCUUAUUACCCACAAUGUGACUCAACUGCCAACAUGUUGGUCUGAGAUUUGGGUGUGUUAUGCUAGUAGCGUCUGAUGUAGCCUCAAGCUGCUUCCUCCACCAAUCUUUCUGAGCUCAGUGGAAACUCUGCAUAGAGGCCACUCCCCAUGUUCCAUGAUUCCACUCAUGACGCUUCCUCUGACCCCUGUGUGUCACAAGUUGGACCAGAAGUUUCGCACCUCAGAGUUAAAGCAUAUCAAAUCAAGUUUCCCUUUUUAAGCACAGCAGGUCUUCACCACAUAUGACUCUGGACAGACAUGGAUGUAAACUGCAACUUGACUGGUUGGCGGAGGCAUACAACCGCAAAGCGGUAAUUCUAGUUUAUAGUUCUGAUUUUUACUUACUUUUUCUUUUAACUAAACUAUAUGUGAUGUUGUUGUUGAUAAAAAAUUUCGGUGCAAUAUAAAUCUUGGUCACAACUCUUUAAUAACCAUAUUUAAGGGAUCCUUAAUAUUUUUUAUUGUGUUUAUGUUUAUAACAAGUGCAGGUGUGUGUAAUUUUUACGUGUGUAAUGUUAAUACAGUCAAUUAAUGUUUUUCACAUUUGAGGUUUUAUACACUUGGAAAGAAGUUUCAUUUUCCUUAGUCAAAACUACAAAGAAAGUGAUGCAUAACAAAUGUCUGUCUUCGAAACUGUAUCUUUACAUUGCUCCAACAUUGUUGAUGUUCUUUGUCAAACCACCUGAAAUUGAAGCUGUAAACUUUGAAUUCUUGCCUGAACUCUGACCCCCAUAAUGCCAAGCCAAUCAUCCCACCAAGACAAGCGAUUCAUCAGGAAGGCUGUAUUUUCUGUGAUUUGGUCAACCUCUGGUCAACAGUGUUUCAUGGUUGCACUGGAAGACUGAGCCAUCGUGUGCUCAAUAGCAUUGAUAACAACUUAGUGGCUAAAAGGGCUGAAAAUGUGUUGGAUAUUCAGUUCACUUAUCUCAAUUUAGCUGGGUUGAGGAAGAGAGAUUAUCUCAUUUUUAUUAUGUUUACAGGGAGAUGAUAGGGGAAAAACAGAGAAAGUUAAAAAAGAAUAAUUGACUGUGGCUCCAG